UCAAGCGUUUAAGAGCAUUUGAUGGAUGCCUUGGCACACAGAGGCGAUGAAGGACGUAGUACGUUGCGAUAAGCUUCGGGGAGUUACGAACAAACUUUGAUCCGAAGAUUUCCGAAUGGGGCAACCCAACUCUUUUGAGUUAUUGCUAACUGAAUACAUAGGUUAGUAAAGCGAACCCAGCGAACUGAAACAUCUAAGUAGCUGGAGGAAAGGAUAUCAACCGAUACUCCGUAAGUAGUGGCGAGCGAAAGCGGAUCAGGCCAGUGGUUUUAAUUGUACAACCAAAAUUACCUGGAAAGGUAAACCGUAGAGAGUGAUAGUCUCGUAUGGGUAAUGACGAUUAAAAUCCUUGAGUAAGACGGGACACGUGAAAUCCUGUCCGAAUAUGGGGGGACCACCCUCCAAGCCUAAGUACUACUGUGUGACCGAUAGUGAACUAGUACCGUGAGGGAAAGGUGAAAAGAACCCCGACGAGGGGAGUGAAAUAGAUCCUGAAAUUGAAUGCUUACAAGCUGUCGAAGCCCGCAAGGGUGACGGCGUACCUUUUGUAUAAUGGGUCAGCGAGUUAGUUUAAGUUGCAAGCUUAAGCCGUGAGGUGUAGGCGUAGCGAAAGCGAGUCUGAAUAGGGCGCUAGUAUCUUGAAUUAAACCCGAAACCGAGUGAUCUAGCCAUGAGCAGGUUGAAGAUAAGGUAAUACUUAUUGGAGGACCGAACCAUUAGACGUUGAAAAGUCUUUGGAUGACUUGUGGCUAGGGGUGAAAGGCCAAUCAAACUCGGAUAUAGCUGGUUCUCCGCGAAAACUAUUUAGGUAGUGCGUCACAUUAAUACCAUCGGGGGUAAAGCACUGGAUGGGCAAGGGGGAAGAAAUUCUUACUAAGUCCAACCAAACUCUGAAUACCGAUGAGUAAUAUGUGGCAGACAGACUACGGGUGCUAAGGUCCGUGGUCGAGAGGAAAACAGUCCAGACCAACAGCUAAGGUCCCCAAGUUAUUGUUAAGUGGGAAAGGAUGUCGGACGACCAAAACAGCCAGGAGGUUGGCUUAGAAGCAGCCAUCCUUUAAAGAAAGCGUAACAGCUCACUGGUCUAAAUAAGUUGUCCGGCGCCGAAGAUUUAACGGGGCUAAACAAUACACCGAAGCUUUGGACACAAUUUAUUGUGUGGUAGCGGAGCGUUCCGUACGUUGUUGAAGGGAGACUCGUGAGAGCUCCUGGAGAUAUCGGAAGUGAGAAUGCUGACAUGAGUAGCGACAAAAAGUGUGAGAAACACUUUCGCCGAAAAUCCAAGGGUUCCUGCGCAAGGCUAAUCCGCGCAGGGUGAGUCGGCUCCUAAGGCGAGGUCGAAAGACGUAGUCGAUGGGAAACAGGUUAAUAUUCCUGUACCUGAUGAGAUGUGACGGAUGACGUAUAUUGUAUACCCUUAUAAUGAUUGGGUGUGCAGUGAAGUUGUUCCAGGAAAUAGCCUCAUCAUUAAAGACCGUACCCGAAACCGACACAGGUGGAUAGGUAGAAUAUACCAAGGCGCUUGAGAGAACUAUGCUGAAGGAACUCGGCAAAAUACCUCCGUAACUUCGGGAGAAGGAGGACCUAUGUUUGGGCAACCAGAUGUAGGUGGCACAGAAAUGGGGGUAGCAACUGUUUAUUAAAAACACAGGACUCUGCAAAGCCGCAAGGCGAAGUAUAGGGUCUGACGCCUGCCCGGUGCCGGAAGAUUAAAGUGAGUGGUGCAAGCUACGAGCUGAAGUCCCGGUGAACGGCGGCCGUAACUAUAACGGUCCUAAGGUAGCGAAAUUCCUUGUCGGGUAAGUUCCGACCUGCACGAAUGGCGUAAUGAUUUCCCCGCUGUCUCCAGCAUAGACUCAGCGAAAUUGAAUUCUCCGUGAAGAUGCGGAGUACCCGCGGUUAGACGGAAAGACCCCGUGCACCUUUACUAUAGCUUCGCAGUGGUACUAGGAAAUAAUUGUGUAGGAUAGGUGGGAGCCUAUGAAGCGUAGCCGCCAGGUUGCGUGGAGGCGCCCUUGAAAUACCACCUUAUUGUUUUCUGGUAUCUAACCGAGGUCCAUGAAGCUGGAUCCGGGACCCUGC
rnacentral:rRNA from 1 species